CGCCCGCCCGCAUCGAAAGAUGGGGACUUCGACUGCAGCCGUACAACCUCAAAGUAGAAUACAGAAAAGGGUCUGAUAAUCCGGCAGACUACAUGUCCCGUCACCCAAUCCCAGCACAAGCACCUACCAAGAACACCCGUGCAACGAAAGUAGCUGAAGAAUACGUGAACUUCAUCAUGCAUAACAGCACACCAAAAGCAAUGACUCUGGAUGAAAUCAAGUGUGAGACACUCAAAGAUGAAACACUACAAAAGGUCAGUACUCUCAUACGCAACAAUACGUGGCACACAGUCACAAAAGACACUGUACUGAGACAAUAUGAACAUGUGAAGAGCGAGCUCACAGUGUUGCAUGAAAAUGACAUUAUACUAAAAGGUUCCAGAAUCGUCAUCCCCUCCGCACUCGAGCACAGGGUCCUCCAGCUCGCACACGAGGCGCAUCAGGGAAUCACACAGACAAAGGCACUCCUGAGAGAGAGGGUGUGGUUUCCAAACAUCGAUCGACAAGCUGAGGCGAUGGUGAGAAACUGUUUGGCAUGUCAAGCUAAUACACCAGAAACACACAACGAACCACUGCAGAUGUCAGAACUCCCCGACACAGUCUGGCAAGAUGUCAGUGCAGACUUCUACGGCCCACUGCCGACAGGUGAACAUUUGCUAGUUAUCGUGGACGAGUACUCCCGGUAUCCUGUAGUGGAAGUCAUGCACUCCACCUCUGCAAAUUCGGUCAUCCCUGUCAUGGACAAGAUCUUCUCGAUGCUUGGCAUCCCCAGAACGGUGAAGACCGACAAUGGCCCCCCUUUCAACGGUGAGCAGUUCAGCAAGUUUGCAGCCUACAUGGGGUUUCACCAUCGGAAAAUCACGCCACUAUGGCCCCAGGCAAACGCAACUGCAGAGAGGUUCAUGAGAACACUUGGAAAGUGCCUCCGUGUUGCCCACAUGGAAAACAUCCCCUGGAAGCAGCAUCUCUACACAUUCCUACGGGAGUACCGUGCAACACCACACAGCACAACAACAACAUCACCUGCUGAGUUGCUGCUCAACCGCAGGAUGCACACAAAGAUGCCUUCAAUGAGCACACCUAUCAGACCAGACGAGGAUCUUCGCAGGAGAGACCGCAAGGCCAAAGCCAAAAUGAAGGCGUACUCAGACACUUGCCGUCACGCUGCGCCUUACCCUCUCCGACCUGGUGACAUGGUGCUGUGCUCUCAACCCAGACACAACAAACUUACUACAGCCUACAAUCCUAAGCCGUACAGAGUGACCACCGUCAAAGGCUCUAUGGUCACAGCUGAGCGGACUGGACACAGAGUGACAAGAAACUCCUCCUUCUUCAAGAAGCUCAACCAUGGCCUGCGCGACACAUCUGUAACAGAAGUAGAGGAUGGAGAAGUCACCGCUGACACAAUCCCAGUGUUAGGAAGGUACCCUGCUAGGCUCCGACUGCCUCCACAGUACCUCGAGGACUUUGAUACGGCCUGAAAAAAAAAAAAAAAAAAAAUGGACUGUGAAAUGGACUGAAUUUGCUAAAGUUUGAAAAGAGUGUUCAGCAAUGAAAAAAAAAAGAGAUUUAUCUCCAGACAAAUUUUGUAUUUGAAAGUGUUUGCAAAGUUGAUUCUAUGUUCCAUAGGUGAAAUGAUAUUUGAGAAAGCAUUUAUGUGAUGCAUUAGACUGAAGCAAUCCAGUUGUUUGCCUAAUGGUUUAUUGUUGUUUACAGACCAAGUGGACGUUAAUUAGUUAGUUAAUGAAUAUUCAAAGUAACCAGAAGUGGAAGUAACAGACAACGUUGAGUUCAAGUUUAAAAAAAAGAAGAAGUGAUGUAGUAUUCAGAUCAUGCCAGUAGUCUGAAUACAUGUUAAUAUUUACCAUAAGCUUGCACGUACUGCUUACGUCAUUACGGUAGUAGAGGCGCGAACCGGAUGUGAUGUGUACGUGGCUG
ensembl:lncRNA